CAGUAGCCGCGGUAAUACGAAGGGUGCAAGCGUUAAUCGGAAUUACUGGGCGUAAAGCGUGCGUAGGCGGUUUCUUAAGUCUGCUGUGAAAUCCCCGGGCUCAACCUGGGAAUGGCAGUGGAUACUGGGAAGCUAGAGUGUGUCAGAGGAUGGUGGAAUUCCCGGUGUAGCGGUGAAAUGCGUAGAGAUCGGGAGGAACAUCAGUGGCGAAGGCGGCCAUCUGGGACAACACUGACGCUGAGGCACGAAAGCGUGGGGAGCAAACAGGAUUAGAUACCCCCGUAGUCCCUGUCUCUUAUAC
rnacentral:rRNA from 1 species